AGGAACCUUACCCGGGCUCAAACGUCGGAGGACGUGCGGAGAAAUCCGCAUUUCCCUCGGGACUUCCGACGAGGUGCUGCAUGGUUGUCGUCAGCUCGUGCCGUGAGGUGUCGGCUUAAGUGCCAUAACGAGCGCAACCCCCAUCUACAGUUGCUAACAGGUGAAGCUGAGGACUCUGUGGAGACUGCCGGCGCAAGCUGAGAGGAAGGCGGGGAUGACGUCAAAUCAGCACGGCCCUUACGUCCGGGGCGACACACGUGUUACAAUGGCAGGUACAGCGGGAAGCCACUUGGCGACAAGGAGCGGAACCCGAAAACCUGUCUCAGUUCGGAUUGGAGUCUGCAACCCGACUCCAUGAAGCUGGAUUCGCUAGUAAUCGCGCAUCAGCCACGGCGCGGUGAAUACGUUCCCGGGCCUUGUACACACCGCCCGUCAAGCCAUGGAAGCCGGGAGUGCCUGAAGUGCGUGAGCGCAAGCAGCGCCCUAGGGUAAAACCGGUGACUGGGGCUAAGUCGUAACAAGGUAGCCGU
rnacentral:rRNA from 1 species